UAAAAACUAAAUAUUUUUCUGAUACGAAUAUUGUAUGUAUCUAUGUAUCCUAGAUGGUAUCCUUGGUUACGUAUAAUUAUGGAUAUUCAAAAUUGUAAAAUUCAGGUUCAGCGUUGAAAAUCUUGCCACGAUCUCAAAGGGUAAAUAAAAUAAAUACGUCAAAAAAUACGUCAGUAACCGUGUACCCGCAAAAAUGAGAUUUAUUGGCAAUAUUUUCAGAACUGUUCUGAAAAAGGCAACAGCCCUUUAUUUGUUGAGCAUUAUGUCUGCUGAUAUUUUUGAAGAGACCUUUCAAAUGUGCUGCCAGGAAACAUUGGAAAUGUUCAACAUCGGAAAGCUUUUCAAAGACUUAAAUUGUUUCAAAAAAUCUGAAGAAGAGAAUGAUAAUAAGAAUGAUUCAAAUGUUGAAGAUGAUUUGUCACUGAAAGAUGAAAAUCUUGAAACUGAAGUACUAAUUACUAAUGUAACUAAAAUUAAUUAAUUUGUUUACUAAUAAAUUCGUAUGUAAUUUCA